GGCCUCAAACAUGCAAGUCUAGGGGUUGUAGCAAUACAUCACCGGCGGACGGGUGCGUAACGCGUGGGAAUGUACCUAUUGGUUCGGAACAACUGAGGGAAACUUCAGCUAAUACCGGAUGAGCCCGAAAGGGGAAAGAUUUCUCGCCAAUAGAUCAGCCCGCGUCCGAUUAGCUAGUUGGUGGGGUUAAAGCCUACCAAGGCGACGAUCGGUAGCUGUUCUGAGAGGAAGAUCAGCCACACUGGGACUGAGACACGGCCCAGACUCCUACGGGAGGCAGCAGUUGGGAAUCUUGGACAAUGGGGGAAACCCUGAUCCAGCCAUGCCGCGUGAGUGAUGAAGGCCUUCGGGUUGUAAAACUCUUUCGACGGGGACGAUAAUGACGGUACCCGGAGAAGAAGCUCC
rnacentral:rRNA from 1 species